rnacentral:lncRNA from 1 species
GGGUUUCACCGUGUUAGCCAGGGUGGUCUGGAUCUCCUGACCUCGUGAUUCACCUGCCUUGGCCUCCCAAAGUGCUGGGAUUACAGGCGUGAGCCACCGCACCUAGCCCAUUUAUUUUACUUUUAUUUUUGUGAGACAGAGUCUCUCUCUGUCGCCCAGGCUGGAGUGAUUCUCGUGCCUCAGCCUCCCAAGUAGCUGGCAUUACAGGGAUCUGCCACCACGCCAGGCUGAUUUUUGUAUUUUUAGUAGAGACAGGGUUUUGCAAUGUUGGCUAGGCUGGUCUCAAACUCCUGGCCUCAAGUGAUCUGCCUGCCUUGGCCUCCCAAAGUGCUGGGAUUACAGGCAUGAGCCACUGUGCCCGGCCACUGUGUAGAAUGUUAAAUUAGUUCCUCAGUCACACUGACCACCUCUCAAGGGCUCAGUCGUCACACAUGGCCAGUGGCUACUGUACUGGAUGGCACAGACAGGACCCUUCUGACACACCGAAAUCUCUAUAGACAGUGCCUCUCCACCUCCUUCCAGCCCCAUUUGAAGGAGUAGAGGAAGCCUCUUACUCAUUCCUGCUGCUUCAGUUUCAGUUGUGGAACUCCUUGAGAUUAGAAAGAAGUCCUGCCACCUGCUGUUUCAGUUCAUUUUUCAGGGCCUUGCGUGGAUGGGGCACAUGGGCAGUGCUGACCAGCUGCCUUUCUUCCUGUGGCAGUGCUGCUGGCUGCACACUGCUGGCCUUUUGCAGCCAACAGAGGAGGCACAUCCCCUAAUGCUUGACCACGGCGUGAGCUGACCGCAGUCAGAAAAUCCUGCCAUCGGGGUGGCCAAGAAAUCGGGGUUUCUUCCCAGCCGGCCAGCCUCUUUCCUGGCCACCACAGCUUCAGUGUUUGGGGUUCCCGGCAUGGCUUCCUUCUGUCACUGCACCGACACCUCUGCACACAUGCCUCAUGGCCAUCACUGAGCUGAGAGGGGCAGGCUGUGCUCCCCAAGGGGACUACGCUCCCUUAGAGGUGUGGAAUGUUGAAUAAGAGGAAGCCUGAGAUGGGUCCCUGACGCUGGGUUUGUAGUUGCCUAGGGAUGUCUCUUGUCCAAGUGCUAUUGCAGAGCUCAAUUCUAAGACCCAAUUUCAUUCAACUCACCUUUCCUGGAAUUAGGAAAUAGAUCAUCUCAGAGCACCUGUUGAUAAUUUCUUUUUUUUUUCUUUUUUUUUUUUUCUUCCCUGAGAUGGAGUCUCGCUCUUUUGCCCAGGCUGGAGUGCAGUGGCACGAUCUCGGCUCACUGCAACCUGUACUUCCCGAGUUCAAGCGAUUCUCCUGCCUCAGCCUCCCAAGUACCUGGGAUUACAAGCGUGCUGCCACCAUGCCUGGCUAAUUUUUGUAUUUUUAGUAGAGAUGGGGUUUCACCAUGUUGGUUAGGCUGGUCUCGAACUCCUGGCCUCAGGUGAUCCACCCACCUCGGCCUCCCAAAGUGCUGGAAUUACAGGUGUGAGCCAUUGCAGCUGGCCAGAUAAUUUCAAAAAAUCUAGCAAAUGCAGUUCUGUGAACUUCUGAAAUUAGUCCAGCGCUGACUCAGGGCUCUUCUGGCCCAGGGUCUAUCCCAGGGUCUAUCAGGAGGACCAAGGAAUAGAGGGUAAGAAUGUGAUGGGGAAACGAUUGUGGUGACAGGGAGAGACCAUGGAGUAGAGCAGGCUGGGAGCUGGCUGCAGGGAACACUGCCACACGGC